UUCCUUUAUUUUGCAAUUUUCCUUGAGAAAAGAGAAAAUUUUUUGACGAAUCAAAAGAGAAGAAAAUCGAAUCAACACUUUUUGGAUGGAUGGGGAAUUUUAUAUUCAAGUGGAAAAUUAACAACAGAAUGACGUGAGAAAAGAGACAGCAGAAAAAAAAAAUUUUUAUUUUUUGACAAUUCAACAUUGAUAGAUGCAUUUAUUUUUUAUCCUG